UGUAAUCCUCUCAAUUGCCUCCUAGAUUUGAAACCAUGACUUCAAAACCUACAAAUUCUGGAUUCUAAGUUUCUAAAAUUCAAGUUGAAGUUGGUUAUGAAUUACCCACAAUUGACGAAGCUUUGUUAGUACCUUCGGGAUCUAAAUCUGUUAAUGCCAACUCCAUCAGAGGGGAUUCACUAAUGGGGAUUUGUAUGACAAGCCUGCGCAAUGUUCAAAAAAAUAAUGCCCAGUGACUGAUAGAAACCCACCUUUCACAAACACGGAUUAUUGGGGUUUAACUAGAAGCUAAGAAUCAGCAUGCUUGGAUUUGGUUGAUGGAAUUCCUAAAGCUCUAAAGGAGUUAAAAGGUAAGAAGAUUGGUGAUCAAUUGGUUUUCUUGAGUUUGAAAUAUUAUGUAUAUGAUCUCUGCAGCGAUGGUAACAUCAGAGAUUAGGGACAUUGAUGAAUUGUUCAUGGUACCUAGAUUCAUCAAUUGAUCUCUUUCGAUUUCGAAAUUUUCCUGCAACUCAUACAUGAUCUACUGUAUGUCAGGUUAUAAUUUCUGAGUUUUCCUUGGUGUUUGCAGAAGUCAAACAAAUAUCUCUGAGGUGCACAUAACUAACAUUAGGGUAACUUAUUAAAUGCUUCACUGCUUAAAAUGCCUUCAUUUACGAGUUAUAAACACAGUUUAUAUACACUGAUAACUAAAGAUUAUGGAUUUACUUUUUUCUUCGUGCGAUGAAACAUUACUGCCAUACUUAAUCUAUACUUCACUUAUCUC